CAGCAGCCGCCGCGGUAAUACGAAGGGUGCAAGCGUUAAUCGGAAUUACUGGGCGUAAAGCGUGCGUAGGCGGUGAGUUAAGUCUGCUGUGAAAUCCCCGGGCUCAACCUGGGAAUGGCAGUGGAUACUGGCUCGCUAGAGUGUGUCAGAGGAUGGUGGAAUUCCCGGUGUAGCGGUGAAAUGCGUAGAGAUCGGGAGGAACAUCAGUGGCGAAGGCGGCCAUCUGGGACAACACUGACGCUGAGGCACGAAAGCGUGGGGAGCAAACAGGAUUAGAUACCCCGGUAGUCCCUGUCUCUUAUAC
rnacentral:rRNA from 1 species